rnacentral:rRNA from 1 species
UCUGCCCGCUGGCGGCGUGCCUAAUACAUGCAAGUCGAACGAAACUUCUUUAUCACCGAGUGCUUGCACUCACCGAUAAAGAGUUGAGUGGCGAACGGGUGAGUAACACGUGGGCAACCUGCCCAAAAGAGGGGGAUAACACUUGGAAACAGGUGCUAAUACCGCAUAACCAUAGUUACCGCAUGGUAACUAUGUAAAAGGUGGCUAUACUACCGCUUUUGGAUGGGCCCGCGGCGCAUUAGCUAGUUGGUAGGGUAAAGGCUUACCAAGGCAAUGAUGCGUAGCCGAAUUGAGAGGUUGAUCGGCCACAUUGGGACUGAGACACGGCCCAAACUCCUACGGGAGGCAGCAGUAGGGAAUCUUCCACAAUGGGCGAAAGCCUGAUGGAGCAACGCCGCGUGGGUGAAGAAGGUCUUCGGAUCGUAAAACCCUGUUGUUAGAGAAGAAAGUGCGUGAGAGUAACUGUUCACGUUUCGACGGUAUCUAACCGGAAAGCCACGGCUAACUACGUG